CGGAGGUGUUCCCCUCCUGGUCUCCCCUCUUCUAUCCGAGCUCGGCAGAGAGAGAUGUAUGUGCUCGUGACAUCUAUCUACGGCAUGUCGCCAUGUCGGGGUCGAUGAUCAGGUCAUUGGCCGGUGAUACAUAGCCCCCCUGAUCGGAUGCGGUCGAUGUCCGGGGAGCGGUGGCAGCGCGCGCGGACGUCGGCACCGUCGGUCGCCGGGCUAGGAUAGAAGAAGAAAUAGGUCAUGUUGCUAGCAGCUUCUGUUCAUUUAUUCACUUCUGUCGUUGUUACGGUCUUUCGCAGGUUCUUUUUUGUACCCUCCUUUUGUGGGAGCGUAGCAUAGGUGUUUCUUGUCGAUGUUAAUCGAGAUCGUUCUUCUGGACAA